AGAGGAAGUAAAAGAGAAAAAGAGAGAGAGAUGAUCAAAUUUUUGGAGGAGAUAGCGUGUGUUUUCUUAAAUUUUGAGCUAGCUUUGGAAUCGAGGGUUUAUAUAGAAUUUUCAACCAGCUGAAUGCUCGACACGUGUGAUGCCAUGCGGAAGCUGUUCACACAUUUCAUGGCUUUGGACCAUAACACGUGUCGCCUUGUAACUUGGGAUGAGCCUUGCGGACCAGGACAAGGCUGUUGAGUCUUAUCUUCAUCGACAGUUGCUAUUCUUAGGGUUCAGACAGUUUUGAAUAUGGAACCUACUUUUUUCAGCAUUAUGGAAUUCUUAUAAUAUUGGAUUAUAUUUCCUUAA